GAAAACUCAGUUUCGAAGGGACAAAGUCAAGGAGACUUCAAAGAUGAGAAAUGAUUGCACUGGGCCUUAGAGAGGAAGUUCAGCAGAACAAGGUGGGAAGGGCACGAUAUCAGAGUAAGAGGCACUGAUGGUGAACAAAUAUAGAGACUGGAAUCCAGUGACGUCACACAGGCGCUCUGGAAGCCAGUGAUGCAGUAUCAGAAUCUGGGAACACAAUGAGGCAAUGUUUCAGCUGCUUGUGCAUUCUUCACCUCCCAUUGUCUCUGUCUCUCUCUUUCUCCUCUGCUUCCCCUCACCCCACAACCAAAGUCAAGAGCGCAGACCCCAUGGUAAGGAUUCUCAUCUUCAUCCCACAG
rnacentral:lncRNA from 10 species